rnacentral:rRNA from 1 species
AUUGAACGCUGGCGGCAGGCCUAACACAUGCAAGUCGAGCGAGCGGCGGACGGGUGAGUAAUGUAUGGGGAUCUGCCUGAUGGAGGGGGAUAACUACUGGAAACGGUAGCUAAUACCGCAUACCAUCAGAUGAACCCAUAUGGGAUUAGCUUGUAGGUAAGGUAACGGCUUACCUAGGCGACGAUCCCUAGCUGGUCUGAGAGGAUGAUCAGCCACACUGGUACUGAGACACGGCCCAGACUCCUACGGGAGGCAGCAGUGGGGAAUAUUGCACAAUGGGCGCAAGCCUGAUGCAGCCAUGCCGCGUGUAUGAAGAAGGCCGUCGGGUUGUAAAGUACUUUCAGGCGGGAGGCGUUACCGACAGAAGAAGCACCGGCUAACUCCGUGCCAGCCGCCGCGGUAAUUC